UACGAAGGGGGCUAGCGUUGUUCGGAAUCACUGGGCGUAAAGGGCGCGUAGGCGGCUUUAUAAGUCGGGGGUGAAAGCCUGUGGCUCAACCACAGAAUUGCCUUCGAUACUGUAGAGCUUGAGACCGGAAGGGGAAAGUGGAAUUCCGGGUGUAGUGGUGGAAUACGUAGAUAUCCGGAGGAACACCAGCGGCGAAGGCGGCUUUCUGGUCCGAUUCUGACGCUGAGGCGCGAAAGCGUGGGGAGCGAUCCGG
rnacentral:rRNA from 1 species